CAUUUUCUGUGUUUUUCAGCAUGUCUUCCACGAAACAGCAGUUGUGUGAAAUGCACUAUAAGAAAACACAUGAACAGAAUUUUCACUUCCUUCAGGAAGCUCUCCCUAGCCUAAUAGCCCCACCCUUACCAUCACAACCUCUUACCACAUCAAAUCUCUUGCCUUCAGAGAUUGCACAGUUUUAGUUAUAUCUUUGUUGAUGACAUUUUUGGACAGAGACUAGCAUGUGGUAGUUGUUUAAACUGUAGCUACCAUAUUAUUAAUCUAUCUAAUAUCCAGGUGAUAUUAAUAUUAAUAUGACUAAUCAAUUUAAUAUGCAGUGCGGGGCUGG
rnacentral:lncRNA from 10 species